UGAGGAAUCUUGCGCAAUGGGGGAAACCCUGACGCAGCAACGCCGCGUGAGUGAAGAAGGCCUUCGGGUCGUAAAGCUCUGUCAGAUGGGAAGAAAUGGAUGGGGGCUAAUAUCGUCCAUCCUUGACGGUACCAUCAGAGGAAGCACCGGCUAACUCCGCGCCAGCAGCCGCGGUAAUACGGGGGGUGCAAGCGUUGUUCGGAAUCAUUGGGCGUAAAGCGCGCGCAGGCGGCUUGGUAAGUCAGAUGUGAAAUCCCUGGGCUUAACCCAGGAAGUGCAUUUGAUACUGCCUCGCUAGAGUACGGGAGAGGAAAGUGGAAUUCCUGGUGUAGGGGUGAAAUUCGUAGAUAUCAGGAGGAACACCGGUGGCGAAGGCGGCUUUCUGGCCCAAUACUGACGCUGAGACGCGAAAGCGUGGGGAGCAAACA
rnacentral:rRNA from 1 species